GAUGAACGCUGGCGGCGUGCCUAAUACAUGCAAGUCGAGCGAACAGACGAGGAGCUUGCUCCUCUGACGUUAGCGGCGGACGGGUGAGUAACACGUGGAUAACCUACCUAUCAGACUGGGAUAACUUCGGGAAACCGGAGCUAAUACCGGAUAAUAUAUUGAACCGCAUGGUUCAAUAGUGAAAUACGGUUUUGCUGUCACUUAUAGAUGGAUCCGCGCCGCAUUAGCUAGUUGGUAAGGUAACGGCUUACCAAGGCAACGAUGCGUAGCCGACCUGAGAGGGUGAUCGGCCACACUGGAACUGAGACACGGUCCAGACUCCUACGGGAGGCAGCAGUAGGGAAUCUUCCGCAAUGGGCGAAAGCCUGACGGAGCAACGCCGCGUGAGUGAUGAAGGUCUUCGGAUCGUAAAACUCUGUUAUUAGGGAAGAACAAAUGUGUAAGUAACUAUGCACGUCUUGACGGUACCUAAUCAGAAAGCCACGGCUAACUACGUG
rnacentral:rRNA from 1 species